rnacentral:rRNA from 1 species
ACUCAAAUGAAUAGACGGGAGCCCGCACAAGCAGUGGAGUAUGUGGUUUAAUUCGAUGCAACGCGAAGAACCUUACCGGAGCUUGACAUCCACGGAACGCCUCAUAAUGGAGGCGGUGCCCUUCGGGGAGCCGUGAGACAGGUGGUGCAUGGUUGUCGUCAGCUCGUGUCGUGAGAUGUUGGGUUAAGUCCCGCAACGAGCGCAACCCCUAUGAUUAGUUGCUACGGAAGAGCACUCUAAUCAGACUGCCGUUGACAAAACGGAGGAAGGUGGGGACGACGUCAAAUCAUCAUGCCCCUUAUGCCCCGGGCCACACACGUACUACAAUGGCGCAAACAGAGGGGAGCAAACACGCGAGUGAGAGCAAAUCCCAAAAAUGCGUCCCAGUUCAGAUUGCAGGCUGCAACUCGCCUGCAUGAAGUUGGAAUUGCUAGUAAUCGCGGAUCAGAAUGCCGCGGUGAAUACGUUCCCGGGCUUUGCACACACCGCCCGU